rnacentral:rRNA from 1 species
GACGAACGCUGGCGGCGUGCUUAACACAUGCAAGUCGAACGAUGAUCUCCCAGCUUGCUGGGGGGGAUUAGUGGCGAACGGGUGAGUAACACGUGAGUAACCGGCCCUGUACUCUGGGAUAACCCCGAGAAAUCGGAGCUAAUACCGGAUAGGACCUUGCACCGCAUGGUGUGGGGUGGAAAGUUUUUUCGGGUUGGGAUGGACUCGCGGCCUAUCAGCUUGUUGGUGAGGUAAUGGCUCACCAAGGCGUCGACGGGUAGCCGGCCUGAGAGGGUGACCGGCCACACUGGGACUGAGACACGGCCCAGACUCCUACGGGAGGCAGCAGUGGGGAAUAUUGCACAAUGGGCGCAAGCCUGAUGCAGCAACGCCGCGUGGGGGAUGACGGCCUUCGGGUUGUAAACCUCUUUCAGCAGGGACGAAGCCGUGAGGUGACGGUACCUGCAGAAGAAGCACCGGCCAACUACGUGCCAGCAGCCGCAGUAACAC